UACGGGGGGGGCAAGCGUUGUUCGGAAUUACUGGGCGUAAAGGGCUUGUAGGUGGCCAACUAAGUCAGACGUGAAAUCCCUCGGCUUAACCGGGGAACUGCGUCUGAUACUGGAUGGCUGGAGUGUGGGAGAGGUGAGUGGAAUUCCCAGUGUAGCGGUGAAAUGCGUAGAUAUUGGGAGGAACACCAGUGGCGAAGGCGGCUCACUGGACCGGUACUGACGCUGAGGCGCGAAAGCGUGGGGAGCAAACAGG
rnacentral:rRNA from 1 species